UACGUAGGGGGCAAGCGUUAUCCGGAUUUACUGGGUGUAAAGGGAGCGUAGACGGCCAGACAAGUCAGAAGUGAAAGCCCAGGGCUCAACUCUGGGACUGCUUUUGAAACUGCCGGGCUGGAGUGCAGGAGAGGUAAGCGGAAUUCCUAGUGUAGCGGUGAAAUGCGUAGAUAUUAGGAGGAACACCAGUGGCGAAGGCGGCUUACUGGACUGUAACUGACGUUGAGGCUCGAAAGCGUGGGGAGCAAACAGG
rnacentral:rRNA from 1 species